rnacentral:rRNA from 1 species
GGCGCCGGGUGCGUAACGCGUAUACAAUCUGCCUUUCACAUAGGGAUAGCCCGAAGAAAUUUGGAUUAAUACCUAAUGGUAUAUAAGAGCGGCAUCGUUUUUAUAUUAAAGCUACGGUGGUGAAAGAUGAGUAUGCGUUCUAUUAGCUAGUUGGAGAGGUAACGGCUCCCCAAGGCGACGAUAGAUAGGGGUUCUGAGAGGGAUGUCCCCCACACUGGUACUGAGAUACGGACCAGACUCCUACGGGAGGCAGCAGUGAGGAAUAUUGGACAAUGGUCGGAAGACUGAUCCAGCCAUGCCGCGUGCAGGAUGAAGGUCCUAUGGAUUGUAAACUGCUUUUGUAAGGGAAGAAUAAGGAGUACGUGUACUUUGAUGACGGUACCUUACGAAUAAGCAUCGGCUAACUCCGUGCCAGCAGCCGCGGUAAUACGGAGGAUGCGAGCGUUAUCCGGAAUCAUUGGGUUUAAAGGGUCCGUAGGCGGGCUGAUAAGUCAGAGGUGAAAGCGCUUAGCUCAACUAAGCAACUGCCUUUGAAACUGUUAGUCUUGAAUGAUUGUGAAGUAGUUGGAAUGUGUAGUGUAGCGGUGAAAUGCUUAGAUAUUACACAGAACACCGAUAGCGAAGGCAUAUUACUAACAAUUUAUUGACGCUGAUGGACGAAAGCGUGGGGGAGCGAACAGGAUUAGAUACCCUGGUAGUCCACGCUGUAAACGAUGGAUACUAGCUGGUUUGGGGCAAUCUGAGCGGCUAACCGAAAGUGAUAAGUAUCCCACCUGGGGAGUACGCACGCAAGUGUGAAACUCAAGGAAUUGACGGGGG